UAAGCUUUCUAUGUGGCCGGCCCUCCUGGGAAGGCUUCCGCUGGCUGACACCUUGUGAUGCUUCUGUUCUUCCUGAGCUGGUUUUACCAGGAUGCUCUGUGUACCUCUGGAAGGUUUAUCCUUUCUACCACAUUCCGAAAUCUUAAGCAAAAUACCACACUCGCCUACAGCGAGCAGGGUCCCUAGUGGCUGCCCCACAUGGCUGUUUUAUUCCAGGCAGUGAAAUGGGCUGCGUCCAGCCCCCUGCUAGUGAGGCGGCAUCGUUUGUCUAGGGUAAUACCCGAGGUUGGUUGUCUCACACCAAGGAAAUGGAAGAGGCAGACACACAAAGAGUGGGUUUAAGUUAAAAGUUUAACAGGCAAAAGAAUAAAGCCCCACCGUGCAGAGGGAGGGAGUUUCUGAACAGGUUUCCUGGAUUUGGGGCAAGAUAUGGUUGGUUUUACAGAUGAGCUUGAAGAGGUGGUGUCUGAUUUGCAUAGGGCGUAGUGGAUUGGUUGGGCCAGGUGUGCCAUUUACACAGGGCACGAGGAGGCUGGCCGUCCCACCCUAAUAUUUUAUUAUGUAAGUGGAGUCUUUACCUGGCCAGCACCCCCGUGGCCUGCACACGUGGUGACGAAAAGGGAAGAGGAAAUGUCCUCUUUGAAUCUGCCUGGCUUGCAGCUCCUGUAUCACAAAGACACUUUUCUGGGAAGAGCUGCCUGCCAGUUCCCGACAGAACGGCAUCAAGUGCGUCAUUCUUAAUGAACCCAAGGCCUGGAUUACUAUUCGGCUUCUUGGAAUCAAGGAUGAAGCAGAGCACAGAAGCUUCUCUUCCUGCCCAGAGAGGACACGCAGGAGUGUCACAGGACCAGGUGCAACACAGAGCACGAGGGAAGGGAAAUUGGCUUUUCAGGGGAGACUACAAAGGGCAAAGUGUUGGUCCUGGUGCCCUCUGGUGGCUGAAUUGCAAUCUCCUCACCUUCCCCAGGAACCGCCCCACUGGCUGGAGAGAACCAUGACUUUGUGGGUUGGCUCCACUGCCUGAGUGGCUUCAGAUCAGUCUGGAGUUGGUCAGCUUAUGUCUCCAAAUCUCCAGUUAUAAGAUUAGGCAUUUUUUUCCUUGUGUAAUUUCCAAUCAGAAAUUUGUUCAAUGGUCCAGUUAGUAUCUUGGUCUGUCUAGAAGGUGGAUUACUGGAUGUCAAAACAAUCUUACUUGCCAUACUUUGUCACCUGAAAUUUUUGUACUCAACAUUUGCCAAAAGAUUGAGGGGGCUGAGGUACAGGGGAUGUCUUUCCAGACAUAUUUGUAUCUCUGGCUCUCAAGAGAAAUAUGACAUACUCCUGUUGUAAGGCACACACAAUGAAGUAAAGUUGAAUUAAA